CAGCCGUAAACUAUGCGCGUUAGGUGUAUCGGUGACCACGAGUUACCGAGGUGCCGAAGGGAAACCGUGAAACGUGCCGCCUGGGAAGUACGGUCGCAAGGCUGAAACUUAAAGGAAUUGGCGGGGGGAGCACCACAACGGGUGGAGCCUGCGGUUUAAUUGGACUCAACGCCGGGAAGCUCACCGGAUAAGACAGCGGAAUGAUUGCCGGGCUGAAGACUCUGCAUGACUAGCUGAGAGGAGGUGCAUGGCGUAGACGUCU
rnacentral:rRNA from 1 species